GCUACAGAGACAGAUUAUCGAUAUAUAGAAAUAGAUACAUUGAUUUAGAUGGCGGUUCCUGGCCACACGUUUGACCAUUACAGCGACGGUGAGCAGGAGAGCUGGUGACCAUCACAGCACUCAACCAAAAGAAAAAAGGAAAGUGGUGAGACUGCUGUGAAGAGCGCAGCUCUGCAAGGGUCAGCCUCUGAGGGCAGCCGCAGCGUGCGGGCCGAGGAGCCGGGCGUCCUUAGGAGAAUGCCGUAACCAAGGGGCCACAGCCCGGUGAC